AAUAAAAAAAGAACAGAGAGCCUUCAUCUCCUUUUGGCCCCCUAAACUCCGAAGCCAACUUCAACGGCGAUCCGCCGUGUGGCCACCGCGGCCAAAGGCCCUUUUGCCCGUGUGCCAAAAUAAACCCGAAGGUACGGAUUUUCGAUCCUUAAAACCGAAAAGAAAGGCCCCUACCCCCCUUUUUCGAUUCAAAUCCGGCGACGGCCAAAAUGGUGGGACAACGGGGUGAUUCAGGUGCAAGUGGCCGACGUGACAGUGGCGGGUGGAGUAGGUGACGCGGCGUCAGUAGCAGGUGGCGGCCAGGAGCAGGUGCGGCGCUAGGGUUUCAGUCUCUGAAACCCUAGUCUGACCUGAGUUGGUAGAUUGGGCUGGUGGGUUAGUUUUAGUUUGGGUUGGUUUUGGGUAAUGGGCUAGUGGGCUUAUUUGUUUUAUUUUCUUUGGUGGGCUGGCAAUUUGUGGUUCUGGGCCCUGGGCAAAUUUGGGCUUGUACAGUAAUAGUCACCAAACCAGAUUUCGAGAUUUAUCUGGAAUAACUAGACCCCUGAUCAACCUCAAGAUAAAUGCGCGCGCGAAUUGUACUUUUUCAAUGUCAAUCGCAAAGGCCUCUAUAUGCUUGAAGUUGUCCUCAACCAUCCCAUCUCGAUCCGAAUACCCCUAAACUUGUUUGGCACCUUCCCUAGUAGUUGCUUGCAUGUUGCACUCCAAUCGACACUCGGCACUAGCCCUGUAAUGACUUCCCCAUCAACCGGUAGACCAAGUUGUAAACCAAUAUCCUCAAGUGUAAUUGUACACUCACUACAAGGAAGAUAGAAUGUGUGUA